CCGUGCGUAGGCGCACAGGAGGACGCUCCAGGCUCCGGCCCCGCUCUUCCGAGCCGAGCCGAGGCAGCGGGGUCUGUGCGGCGGCGUCUCGCGGUCCUUAUUCGCCACGCCCGGCGCUUCGGUCGGCACUCAGAGCUGCAGGCCCGGUCUGCAGCACCCAUAUCCUCCCUUCGCCGGAGCUGUUUAGGCCACGGGGCCCAUGGGGUCCCCCAGGCUCCUUCAAAACACCACUCACUGUCUUCCUGUGCCCACUGCGCCCCGCACGAAUAACCAAACAGUAAAACUCGGCCUCCUGUGCUUGGCCACGUGCGCCCAGGAGGCAUCCCGGCCCUGGUCGGGGAGCCAGUGCCCAGUGCCCCGCGGGCCCAUCCUGGGCGAACCUCCCUCGCCGCCGGCGUGCGCAGGUGGGCCGCAGCCCUGCCCAGGGAUUGAAUGCUCCCUUGCCGAGGCGAAUCGGCCUCCGUUCCGGGAGUUCCAGUCUGGCCCUGGCGCUCCGGAGCCGUUGGCCCCUUCCGCCCAAACGGAAGACGUGUUCCCCCCUCCCUUCUUUGUGUUUCCCUCGCACAAAAGGCCCGGUGCGUGUUGGGGCCGGCCUUUGCUCGGCCGCCUGGAGGCCCCGGGCGGAGCCUGUGCCAAACCGGCCGGGGCGGGCCGCGCGGGGCCGCAGGGCGCAGACCUCCCACCGCUUCCCGGUCCCUCCCGGGCCUUUCUUUUCGGUUCUCUCGCUUCCCCGAGUUCCUGCUCACAUUCAAGCGACGUCUCCGCCUGGCUGCCAGGGAGAGCUGCGUCCUUGAGCCGAGCUGGCCAGAGGUGGCGGUGGGAGGCCAGGCUCCCGGCACCGGAAAGAAAAGAGAGGACAAAAAGAAGCGAAUUUCCGCCGGUGUUUCUGGUCCGGAAGCCAGGAGAGAUGCGUGGAACGGCGGCGUUCGGCGCCCGACCGUGCGCGGUGAACCCGGAGACCUCGAGCGGUUCAGGGGCUGCGAAGAGCCUCGUUGGAGAAAGCAGCGGCCGCUGAGCGCGGGAGAGACCCUCUCCAGGUUCCCAGUAGGUGACAGCCACGCACCCUGGGUCUGCGGGGGGGGGGGCAGGAGGAGAGUGGGCGCUUGGGGCCCAGCGUCCCACUGCGGGAUGCACCAGGAAGGAGCUGCAGGGCGGAAGGAGGGGAACCGCUCGCCUCCGCGGGCAGAGGCGGGCGCACUGCUGCGGCGCUGCUCGGAACUUGCUCUAAGAAGUAGCACCGCGAGUCUCCAGCAGCGCGUGCCUCCGUCGCCCUCUGAGGCGUUUGGGGAAGGCCUGAUAUGGCUCCUGGCAGCCACGCCACCCUCUCUACUCCACUCCCUCUCUGGACCUGGCGAGCCUGACUGGUGCGGCUCUGACCCCAUCCUCGAACAGGUGUCCCCCGCACCGCGGCGUGCGCUCUUCCUUGGCUCUCUCCGGCACGCGCCUUUCAGGAACCAGCCCGGGAACCGACCACUCCAGCCCCGGUCAGGCUCUGUCGAUAGUGGCGGCGGCGGCGGUGUGUGUGUGUGUGUGUGUGUGUGUGUGUGUGGCUCGUCGCCGUGCUCCGGCUGCUACCUCUGGGCCGCCACAGGAAGGGGAAGAUGCGCGGGGCGAGUCGGGGACCCGGGUAAGGCGCUCUCGGGUGCCCGGAGCCCUCGCUCGGCUUGGCCGGAUCCCAUCGCAAGUCGGGAAUCCGCUGCGGCUCUGAGAGCUCCCCAGUCUCAUCUCCGAGCGGGAGCCCGCGCUCUGGGGGGAACCCAGCCGCGCGGGUGCAUGGCCGAAGGCCCGCGGAACACACUGGACACCGCGUGGGCGUGCGACUCCUGGCAGGUGGGUUCCAGCCCACAGCGCCGCCGCAGAGCCCGGGAGUUCUGCCUUGCGCGCCUGGGCGGUGAAGGGAGAUGGGGAAAGUGAAAGGCAGGAGACUGGGCAUGUCACCUGUUUCUCCACUUCCCCCUCCCUCUCCAACACACACUUCCCUCCAAUACCUAUACCUGCAUCUUAUCUUUGAAUUUCUCUCUUCAUUAAAAUGACACACCACCAGGCACCACAGGAGAACUACCCGAGCCCUCCCGCCGCCUCCCUGCACACCUCUGUAGUCCCAGGUGGGAAAUACAGACCACUCAGACCCGGUCUAAUCCAAAUCUCUGUCUAACCACUGCGCGCCGCCCCGCCCCUGCACCUGCACCUGCCCGGGCAUGAGAAGGGCUCAAAGCAGAGUCUGCUUGCUCCUCUCUUUGAGAUCCUUGGGAUCUUCUCUCCCUUUGGGGUCUCACAGUCUAUUUCCUGGAGAUUUGGGGGAUAGCGCUCCCCCCACCUCUUGCACAGUCUGUGUCCCCCACCUCUGUGACCACCAGUAAAUGGAAUGCAAGAAGUGCUUUUUGAAGCAAAUGCAUGCCCAUGUGAAUAACAAAGCAUUAAAUACUAUGGAAAGCAACUGUCCCUGUUGCAUGGACAUCACCCUUGCCACCAGCCACUGCCAGGUUCUUGCUGAACAUCUUUUCCAGGCUGUGUGCAUGCACGCUCUGUAACCUUUUCCAGUUUCCAGUAAGGCUUGAACGUGUCUUCCAUACCAACACAAGGUCCUCCUGGUCCUUUUAACACUCUAGGGCAGCACCAAGCAAUCGCCUUUGGAUCCUGCUCUCCUUUGCCCUGGGCGUGUGCAGCCAUGGGAAACCUGUCCCAGCUGAAAUCCCUGCUCACCUGUUUCCACGGCAAGCCUGGUUGGAGAAAGAAAUGUGCAACGUGCAAACGGAACAUUCCUUGGCUGGACUGUGUGCAGGCGCAGAACUCCAGCUCUGAGACUGAGAGAAUUCCUAACCACUCCUCUUCCAGUAAGCUCAAAAGUUCCUCUGCUCCUAGGGUGACUUCUCUGAGCAAGGAAGCCAUGCUGUUUACAGGAUCCCUGCUAAUGCUCCUUGGAAAGCACCAGAAGGCAGUCCAAGUCCUUGGGCCUCUGCUGCCCACGUGGGAAACCUGGAUAAAGCUCCUGGCUUCUGGCCCAGCCCUGGCUGUUGUGGCCAUUUGGGAAAUGAACCAGCAGAUGGGAGAUCUCUCUCUUUCUCUGUCUGUCUCUUUGUCUCUGUAACUCUGCUUUUCAAAUAAAUGAAUCUUAAACAAAUAAAUAAAUAAAACUCAAGCAGUACUAAGUCUAUCUGGUACAAGCAAACUUCCUCCACCAGGUCCCCAGAGGCAACUUCUGUUACAGUUUCUUGUUUAGUCCAGAAAGAAUGCUGGCUGUACAAAUAUUUACUCAUCGGUCUCUUUCACACCAGUGCUGGCACAUGCUGCACAGGCCUGUCACAGAAGAUUCUCUCUCUGGCUCCUGUAACCACCAA